GACGAACGCUGGCGGCGUGCUUAACACAUGCAAGUCGAACGGAAAGGCCCUGCUUUUGUGGGGUGCUCGAGUGGCGAACGGGUGAGUAACACGUGAGUAACCUGCCCUUGACUUUGGGAUAACUUCAGGAAACUGGGGUUAAUACCGGAUAGGAGCUCCUGCUGCAUGGUGGGGGUUGGAAAUUUUCGGCGGUCGGGGAUGGACGCGCGGCUUAUCAGCUUGUUGGUGGGGUAGUGGCUUACCCAGGCUUUGACGGGUAGCCGGCUUGAGAGGGUGACCGGCCACAUUGGGACUGAGGUACGGCCCAGACUCCUACGGGAGGCAGCAGUGGGGAAUAUUGCACAAUGGGCGGGAGCCUGAUGCAGCAACGCCGCGUGCGGGAUGACGGCCUUCGGGUUGUAAACCGCUUUCGCCUGUGACGAAGCGUGAGUGACGGUAAUGGGUAAAGAAGCACCGGCUAACUACGUG
rnacentral:rRNA from 1 species